UGCUCGGUAGCCGAGUGGUAAGUGCAUCGAGCUAGCAACCCGAGGCUCGCGGGUUCGAAUCUCCGCCUAGGAAG